rnacentral:misc_RNA from 1 species
GAUGAAGAACGUAGUGAAAUGCGAUAAGUAAUGUGAGUUGCAGAAUUCAGUGAAUCAUCGAAUCUUUGAACGCAUCUUGCGCUCCUUGGUAUUCCUUGGAGCAUGCCUGUUUGAGUAUCAUGAGCAAACCUCAAAGUCAAUUCCUUUUGUUAAUUCAAUUGGUUUUGCUUUGGACUUGGAGGUCUUGCAGAUUUCACAGUCUGCUCCUCUUAAAUGCAUUAGCUGGAUCUCAGUAAUUAUGCUUGGUUCCACUCGGCGUGAUAAGUAUCACUCGCUGAGGACACUGUUAAAAAGGUGGCCAGGAAAAUACUGAUUGAACCGCUUCUAACGGUCUAUUAAGUUAGACAAUUACCCUUAAGUUUGAUCUCAAAUCAGGUAGGACUACCCGCUGAACUUAAGCAUAUCAAUAAGCGGAGGA